rnacentral:rRNA from 1 species
UACGGAGGGAGCUAGCGUUGUUCGGAAUUACUGGGCGUAAAGCGCACGUAGGCGGCUUUUUAAGUCAGGGGUGAAAUCCCGGGGCUCAACCCCGGAACUGCCCUUGAAACUAGAGAGCUAGAAUCUUGGAGAGGCGAGUGGAAUUCCGAGUGUAGAGGUGAAAUUCGUAGAUAUUCGCAAGAACACCAGUGGCGAAGGCGGCUCACUGGCCCGGUACUGACGCUGAGGUGCGAAAGCGUGGGGAGCAAACAGG